rnacentral:rRNA from 1 species
UUACUUAAUAAUAAAUCAUAAUAUUUAGUAAAAAUGUUCUUGCCAAGUAUUCGGCUGGGGUGGCCCUGGAGUAAAAUAAAACCUCCAGGCUGAAUGAAUAUAUUAAUUCUAAUCUAAGAGCUACAACUCAAAGAAUCAAAACCUUGACAAUAUUCGAUGCAAAUAUUGAUCAACGAACAGUUACCCUGGGGAUAACAGCGC